CAGGUGGUGCAUGGCUGUCGUCAGCUCGUGUCGUGAGAUGUUGGGUUAAGUCCCGCAACGAGCGCAACCCUUAUUCUAUGUUGCCAGCGGGUAAUGCCGGGGACUCGUGGAAGACUGCCGGGGUCAACUCGGAGGAAGGUGGGGACGACGUCAAGUCAUCAUGCCCCUUACGUCCAGGGCUGCAAACACGCUACAAUGGCCGGUACAAAGGGCUGCAAACCCGCGAGGGCAAGCGAAUCCCACAAAGCCGGUCUCAGUUCGGAUUGGAGGCUGCAACUCGCCUCCAUGAAGCUGGAGUUGCUAGUAAUCCCGGAUCAGCACGCCGGGGUGAAUACGUUCCCGGGCCUUGUACACACCGCCCGUCACACCACGAAAGUCGGCAACACCCGAAGCCGGUGGCCUAACCGCAAGGAAGGAGUCGUCGAAGGUGGGGUCGGUGAUUGGGGUGAAGUCGUAACAAGGUA
rnacentral:rRNA from 1 species